AGAGUUUGAUCAUGGCUCAGAACGAACGCUGGCGGCAUGGAUUAGGCAUGCAAGUCGAACGGGAGCAGCAAUGCUCCAGUGGCGCAAGGGUGAGGAACACGUGAACAACCUGCCUUCGAGAUGGGGAUAGCUUCUGGAAACGGGAGAUAAUACCGAAUAACAUCAACUGGUCGCAUGACUGGUUGAUCAAAGCAGCAAUGCGCUUGAAGAGGGGUUCGCGUCCCAUUAGCUAGUUGGUGAGGUAACGGCCCACCAAGGCGAUGAUGGGUAGCUGGUCUGAGAGGACGAUCAGCCACAUUGGGACUGAGAUACUGCCCAGACUCCUACGGGAGGCUGCAGUCGAGUAAUUUUGGGCAAUGGACGAAAGUCUGAACCCCCAACAAUGCCGCGUGCGGGAUGAAGGUCUUCGGAUUGUAAACCGCUGUCAAGAGGGACGAAGAUUGACGGUACCUCUGGAGGAAGCCACGGCUAACUACGUGCCAGCCGCCGC
rnacentral:rRNA from 1 species